rnacentral:rRNA from 1 species
GACGAACGCUGGCGGCGUGCUUAACACAUGCAAGUCGAACGGAAAGGCCCUGCUUUUGUGGGGUGCUCGAGUGGCGAACGGGUGAGUAACACGCGAGUAACCUGCCCUUGACUUUGGGAUAACUUCAGGAAACUGGGGCUAAUACCGGAUAGGAGCUCCUGCUGCAUGGUGGGGGUUGGAAAGUUUCGGCGGUUGGGGAUGGACUCGCGGCUUAUCAGCUUGUUGGUGGGGUAGUGGCUUACCAAGGCUUUGACGGGUAGCCGGCCUGAGAGGGUAACCGGCCACAUUGGGACUGAGGUACGGCCAAGACUCGUACGGGAGGCAGCGGUGGGAAAUAUUGCACACUGGGCGGAAGCCUGAUGCAGCAACGCCGCGUGCGGGAUGACGGCCUUCGGGUUGUAAACCGCUUUCGCCUGUGACGAGGCGUGAGUGACGGUAAUGGGUAAAGAAGCACCGGCUAACUACGUG